rnacentral:lncRNA from 1 species
AACUUGGAGUACUUACCUUGGCUUUUAUUUCCACGCAAAAAUAUAAUUACCACAAUCACUUCAUAUAAAAUUACGUUGGCCGUCUUCUGUGUAGAAUUUUGGUGUCAAUCUUACCUUUUUUGUUGGUGUGAGUAUCACACGUACAUUAGGCAUUGAAACCAGCUGCACAACCACAACGCUGUAGUUUCAUCCAACACACAAAGUACAGUCUCUUAAUCGAUGUGAUGUAGCAAGCGCAUGACACUGUGCUUGAUGUCAGACUGCAAGUAAGAGGAUAUUCAAGCACAAAUAGCAUAACACUUCCGAACAUUUAUGCAAGCGCAGAUGUCCUACAAAUUAUAAAGUAAAAAAUUCAGAGCCCUCUGUGAAUGUGGAUGACCACCAGAGCUGUAUAUAACUAGAAAGCGAAUGAAAUAAAACAACAAAACCAUGUUGCA